rnacentral:rRNA from 1 species
AUUGAACGCUGGCGGCAGGCCUAACACAUGCAAGUCGAGCGGAUGAAGGGAGCUUGCUCCUGGAUUCAGCGGCGGACGGGUGAGUAAUGCCUAGGAAUCUGCCUGGUAGUGGGGGAUAACGUCCGGAAACGGGCGCUAAUACCGCAUACGUCCUGAGGGAGAAAGUGGGGGAUCUUCGGACCUCACGCUAUCAGAUGAGCCUAGGUCGGAUUAGCUAGUUGGUGGGGUAAAGGCCUACCAAGGCGACGAUCCGUAACUGGUCUGAGAGGAUGAUCAGUCACACUGGAACUGAGACACGGUCCAGACUCCUACGGGAGGCAGCAGUGGGGAAUAUUGGACAAUGGGCGAAAGCCUGAUCCAGCCAUGCCGCGUGUGUGAAGAAGGUCUUCGGAUUGUAAAGCACUUUAAGUUGGGAGGAAGGGCAGUAAGUUAAUACCUU